ensembl:lncRNA
AGCUGCAUAAAGUUCCUGAACGCAGGCAAACUGACACUGAGAAGGACAAACAAAAGAUUUAAUUUCUGCACCAUGAAGAUGCUGACUGUGUUUCUGCAUGUGUGUGUCAUGAUGACUUUCACACACAGUCUGUCUGUUCCAGAGGAAACAACUGUGCCAGCUCUUCCAGAGGAAACAACUGUGCCAGGUGAAUCUAAAAGUUGUCUUUUAAUGAGAAUAAUUUUUUAUCCACUAGUAAAUAUUGAAAGUUUUUACCCCAUGAAGUUAAUUGCAACAAAAGAACAUUUUAACUCAUGCAGAUGGAGACAACUGGGGAACACCACCAUCUCCACCAUCUACAGAAGAUGACUCAUUUGGGGGCUGGCAUCCAUCUUGCCCAGAUGGAUGGAGUAUGCACAGUCAACAGUGCCUCAUCUUUGUUCCAGAAAACAUGACCUGGGACGAUGCUCAGAAUAACUGUCACUCUCAUGGAGGACAGCUUGCAUCUGUGUAUGAUGACUUUCAAGCUUAUGAGAUUCAAGCGGAGCUGAAGCGUGCUGGACAUGAUCAUGGAGAAUUUUGGGUUGGAGGCCAUAAUAGUCCAGGGAAUCCUUCUUGGUCCUGGAGUGAUUAUUUGGGAAUGUCUGCUUUUGCUGACUUUUGUAAUGGAGACACAGCCGAAG